rnacentral:lncRNA from 1 species
CUUUGCUAGUUUUUAUUUAGUUUGUUUUCACAAAAACAUUUCUAUUUAGUUUUAUAUUAUUUUGUUUCAGUUUUAGUGUUAAACUUACUGUAUGCCUCCCAGUCUAAACAGUUUGUGUGCAUAUUUUAUGUCAAGCCAGGGUAAGCCUACACAAAACACAGCCCUCAUUUUAAGUCUUUCUAAAACCCCCUAUGAGAGAAAUUAAUGGUGGAAAAACGACUAAUUUCCCUGUUUGACCGCCAGGUUUUAUGGGUACUAUGACACCUCCACCGUGGGGCUCUAUAGGGUGGUUGGAUUAAUAUAAAUUAAAUAAUAGCUCAUAAUGUGAGUCCUGACACAGACAUCUGUUUCUCACGGUUAAAAAAAAGAGGACAUCCUCUUGCCAAUGACUGAAGUCUAACCCGUGCGCAGACCCGUUUCUUGCGGUUCGUUGUUUAACUCGCCUUGAUAACCAGUUAUUCGGUGUUCAAGGGAUAGACAUCUUGCAAGAUGAUUUUUUUAGGCUUCUUGGUGAUUUUGACGUCAGUCCAAGCUGUGUCUGUGCCUACCUUCUCCCCCGUGUAUGAGCUGAAGGUGGGGUACGGAGACAAUGUCACCCUCCCCUGUAACUUUUCCUCCUACCUGGGCCAGGAGGAUGAGGGGGAGGUCCGCUGGGAGGCCAUGGGGCAGGAGGUGGCCUCUAUGGAGGUUGGGAACAUCCUUGGUGAGGCCAGAUGGGACGACGGGACCAAGGGGGUGGAGGUCAAAACGACGCUGGGGUUCUCUUCCCGGGUGGAAUUCRCCCCAGCAGAGAGGAUGAGAGAUGGAGACUUCUCUAUGACCAUCCAGGAGACAGUGCUGAGCGAUGAGGAGAUGUACGAGUGUAUCUGGCUGGGCCGCAAGACCAUCUCUACGGUCUGGCUCAAGGUUCAGGAUCCCGACCCUCCACGCUCUAUCACGCUGUUCAAGGGAAGCCGGUCACUCUGCCCUGCUACGUGUCGUCCCAAGACCCAGCCCACAGCCAGAUCUACGUCCAAUGGCUGAGGACGAUGUGGAGAUCAUGACCUUAACCUGGCCAGACGACAAGGGACCUAAGGAAGAAGACCUCCGUUCUCUCUCCCCCACCCAACAACCUCUGGAGAAGGUGACCUGUCCUUGUUUAUCUAAAGACGGAGCUCAAAGACCAGGGAGUCUAUCGCUGCUUCUACAAGUCCAGGGGCUUCGAGGACCUAAGAGUGGGAUACCAGAAGGUGUCUCUCUCACACAUCCUAGAUCCAUACACUGACUUAUAUAACUUAACAGGUAGGCUUCACACACUGACCUAUAUACUUAACAGGUAGGCUACACACACUGACCUAUAUAAAUUAACAG